GUGCAGGCUUGCUUGUGUGCAUGCCUCUGCGUAUGCACAGCUUGUUGCUGUUCAAGUUCUCGCUUCAGUGUGGUCUAACGGAUGUGAGAGAUGAUUCCAGGUAACCAAGGACUAAAGGACUCAGAAUUGAGAUGGUUCACUUCCAGCACUGUGUCCUCCUCUUGGUGCACCUCCCUGGACUUAAAAGGUGUGAGGAUCAGGGGAGUCUGGUGAAAACUGAUGUGACGUUGCCAUGCAUACCCUAAACUAUAUAAGCAGAGAUGCCCCUGAGAUUCCUCCUUCAGCCUGAUCUUUUUUCUGUAUGGUUGUGCAUAUUCAUCAGCGAAGAUGAAACUGUGGGACCAGCAGCCAUUCACAACUGAAGAGGAGUUACAAUGGUGAACAGCUCAGCCAGAUAGCCACUGUGAUACAUUGUAUCAAGUAAGAGACUGAAUUAAGUAUUUCCCUGUCUCCCCAUAAAACCACACCUGUAUUCUACCUGUGUGCUGAUGAUGUUCCUUGAUAAUUUCCAGUUACUGACAGAGGUCUAAUAUAAAAAUGUUCAUUUGAAGGCAGACAUUUGAUUCAGUGCUUCAUUUGUGUAACAUCUGCAAUGUUUACUUUCUUAAACUUAAAAAUGCACCAAGCUAAAUGCUCUGAAUGUUGACUGUACGAUUAUAGUCAGCUGUAACCAUUU